CCUACGGGAGGCAGCAGUGAGGAAUAUUGGUCAAUGGGCGAGAGCCUGAACCAGCCACGUCGCGUGAAGGAUGACGGCCCUACGGGUUUUAAACUUCUUUUGUCAGGGAGCAAUUGAGUCCACGUGUGGUCUUAGCGAGAGUACCUGAAGCAAAAGCAUCGGCUAACUCCGAGCCAGCAGCCGCGGUAAUACGGAGGAUGCGAGCGUUAUCCGGAUUUAUUGGGUUUAAGGGGAGCGUAGAUGGGUUGUUAAGUCAGUUGUGAAAGUUUGCGGCUCAACCGUAAAAUUGCAAUUGAUACUGGCAGUCUUGAGUACAGUUGAGGUAGGUGGAAUUCGUGGUGUAGCGGUGAAAUGCUUAGAUAUCACGAAGAACUCCGAUUGCGAAGGCAGCUUACUAAACUGCCACUGACAUUGAUGCUCGAAAGUGUGGGGAUCAAACAGGAUUAGAUACCCCUGUAGUC
rnacentral:rRNA from 1 species